rnacentral:rRNA from 1 species
UGAACGCUGGCGGCGUGCCUAACACAUGCAAGUCGAACGGGUAAGAGAAAUUUCGGAUGGACCUUAACUUAGUGGCGGACGGGUGAGUAACGCGUGGAUAACCUGCCUCACACUGGGGGAGUAGCAGCUGGAAACGGCUGGUAAUACCGCAUAAGACCACGUUGCCGCAUGGCAGUGGGGUAAAAGAUUUAUCGGUGUGAGAUGGAUCCGCGUCUGAUUAGCCAGUUGGCGGGGUAACGGCCCACCAAAGCGACGAUCAGUAGCCGGCCUGAGAGGGUGAACGGCCACAUUGGGACUGAGACACGGCCCAAACUCCUACGGGAGGCAGCAGUGGGGAAUAUUGCACAAUGGGCGCAAGCCUGAUGCAGCAACGCCCGCGUGAGUGAAGAAGUAUUUCGGUAUGUAAAGCUCUAUCGGCAGGGAAGAAGGGCCCGAAAGGGAGAUGACGGUACCUGACUAAGAAGCCCCGGCCAACUACGUGCCAGCCGCUGC